rnacentral:tRNA from 1 species
CGCGGGGUGGAGCAGCCUGGUAGCUCGUCGGGCUCAUAACCCGAAGGUACGUCGGUUCAAAUCCGGCCCCCGCAACCA